rnacentral:sRNA from 1 species
CUCUUACCGUGCGACCCAGAGCUCGGAAUGGGACGUGACGGCCGGCACAGGCGCCGUGCACAGCUGCCAGGAAUCUGACGGGCUGUCCUAGAGGACCACAGUCAGAUGAGGCAGAUGGAGCUCGAAAUCAGACCUUUGUUCCUCGUACCAGACACCAACGGCUUCAUUGACCACCUGGCCAGUCUGGCGCGGCUGCUGGAGAGCAGGAAGUACAUCCUGGUGGUGCCCCUCAUCGUGAUCAAUGAGCUGGACGGCCUGGCCAAGGGGCAGGAGACAGACCACCGGGCUGGGGGCUACGCCCGUGUGGUACAAGAAAAGGCCCGCAAGUCCAUCGAGUUCCUCGAGCAGCGAUUCGAGAGUCGGGACUCUUGCCUGCGAGCCCUGACCAGCCGUGGCAAUGAACUCGAAUCCAUCGCCUUCCGCAGUGAGGACAUCACUGGCCAGCUGGGUAACAACGAUGAUCUCAUCCUCUCCUGCUGCCUCCACUACUGCAAAGACAAGGCCAAGGACUUUAUGCCUACCAGCAAAGAGGAGCCAAUCCGGCUACUGCGGGAGGUGGUGCUGUUGACAGAUGACCGGAACCUGCGUGUGAAGGCGCUCA